rnacentral:tmRNA from 1 species
GGGGGCGACCUGGCUUCGACGUGGGUUGCGAAACCAUAGGUGCAUGCCGAGGUGCAGUCAUCUCGUAAAUCAACUGCAAAAUCUUAGUUGCCAACGACGACAACUACGCACUCGCUGCUUAAUACCCAGUAGGGUGCCCUCCGGUCUGGGGCCGUGCCUGUGCGCUCAGGUUUCCGGGGGUCAUCUCUCACAGGAUCGCGAUGAAGCUCGUCCGGGGCGGACUCGUUAAAACCUUUACCGGAAUCGCUGUCAGUUGGCCCUGUUCGUCGGGUUGCUGCCAGUUAAAACAAUAGACGAAAUAAGCAUGUAGAGCCUAUGGCAGAGGGCUUGCGGACGCGGGUUCGAUUCCCGCCGCCUCCACCA